rnacentral:rRNA from 1 species
CUACGUGCCAGCAGCCGCGGUAAUACGUAGGUCCCGAGCGUUGUCCGGAUUUAUUGGGCGUAAAGCGAGCGCAGGCGGUUAGAUAAGUCUGAAGUUAAAGGCUGUGGCUUAACCAUAGUACGCUUUGGAAACUGUUUAACUUGAGUGCAAGAGGGGAGAGUGGAAUUCCAUGUGUAGCGGUGAAAUGCGUAGAUAUAUGGAGGAACACCGGUGGCGAAAGCGGCUCUCUGGCUUGUAACUGACGCUGAGGCUCGAAAGCGUGGGGAGCAAACAGGAUUAGAUACCCUGGUAGUCCACGCCGUAAACGAUGAGUGCUAGGUGUUAGACCCUUUCCGGGGUUUAGUGCCGCAGCUAACGCAUUAAGCACUCCGCCUGGGGAGUACGACCGCAAGGUUGAAACUCAAAGGAAUUGAUGGGGGCCCGCACAAGCGGAGGAACAUGUGGUUUAAUUCGAAGCAACGCGAAGAACCUUACCAGGUCUUGACAUCCCGGUGCCCGUCCUAGAGAUAGGA